UUUACAUUAGAAAAUCCUGGAACAUAACUUUUUUCAGAUGAUAUCUUACCACUCCAUCCACGUUUGAAAGGUAGAAAGAUAUGGAAGGAGGUUCAUGAUUUAGUGCUGCUGCAAGCCGUGUUAAAGAAAGUUCUAACAGAUAAUUUUCCCUGCCUUUGUCUCUCUCCGAGUUUAAACAAUUUACUGGGAAAGAUGUUCCAAGUUCCAUGUUAUUAAACCAUGAAAGAGUUUUUCAGGCUUGAAUACCAUAAAUUUGUAUUGGUAUUUCCAUUUCAUUUGACGAUUUGUAAGACAAGAAUUUGGUUUGGGAAAAGAUAUUUUGUUGUGCUGCAAUGGUGUAACUUCUAUUAACUUGAUUAUUUUCUGUUAAGGCAUGGCUAUGCAAGGUGGCAUUAUAUUGUUGACGAUAAGGAUCUAAAGAUUCAGAAGGUUAUCUGUGAGGAGUUGAAUAUUCCAGUUGUAGAUAUACUAGUUGAAUUAUAUUGUUUACUUUGUUUUUGAUUCAUGAUAGGUUAUAUAGUUUUACAACAAAUUCUUAUCAAUUAGUGUUUUUAUCAAUGUGGUGGGAGCAACAGGACAUAUGAUAGGGGAAUUCUUAGAUUUAUACACUCUUGGUUUAGAGUAUUACGAAAAAAUACACACUCUUUGUUUAGUAUUUAAUAUGUAUUUUAUGCCAUUUUCACAAUUACAUUUGAACAAAUGCACAAGCUCCACUCUGUUUCUACCACCAAUGACUCUUCAGAUGAGGAUAUGGGUGAAGAAUACCUUUCAGCAAAGCUCAAUUUGUCUGACAAAGCUUCAAAGCUUCAAUGUUAGAUGAAACAAUUGAAUAUUUGAAGUCACUACAAUUACAAGUGCAGAUGAUGUCUUAAGGAAAGGAUUGCUUGUCUUGAGGCCACUGAUGAAUACCUUUACAGAGAACUUCAUAAAUAUCGCAGUAUAUAUGCUUUUGUAGAGAUGCGAAAUCGAUGAACCAACAGUAUGUGAAUAGGAAAAUACUUCAAAUUUAAAUGCAUGUGGCCUUUUUUUUAUGUUGAUUAAACAUUAUCUACUGUUUAUAGACAUAUAUA